UGCUCUUCCUUCGCCGCCGCGGGAGGUGGGGGGGUCUAGCAAACCACCCGCCCUUUCCCUCACACGCCCACCCUUCAAUCUUCAUCUCCAUAGAUUGAUUUAGAUUGAGAUUGGAGUGCUCUUCUUUUGAGUUAUCAAGAAAAGAAACUGAAAACCCUACUUGCUAAGCCUUUUUGGUCUUCAAAGCUUCAAAGCAGAGUUUCCUGCUCGGCUAGCAGCAAGAGAUCAUUUUUUUUAUUAGUGCUUAAAUUUGACCAAUUCACCUAGACUUCAAUUUCAUUCCAUCAAAGCUGUUCUUAUCACCCAGCAGUCUGCCAUUGAAGAUCCCUGCUUGCACAGGCCACUGUCUAGUAUUUUCGUGUAGCUUUUCUAGCAUUCUAACUAUAUUUGUAGUGCAUUGCAUCCUUUAAUGUUGAACCUUAUUGUUUCUGAAAAAGUUUAUACUUCCAAUUGAAAAUACUGGCUGAUUCACUGAAGAAUUGUGUGGGGACUAGGGAUUUCCUUCCUGGACAGGUUCAUGAAAAGCCAAUUUCCCUAAUCCACUGCUGUGUUUUGCAACUA